CAGGGAGACAACAAAAUGUUUAAUAUUAUUAUUUUGUCACCUUAGGUCGAUCGGUAUCUCACGUUCUUAAUAAUUAAGAAUUUCAUUUCCUAAGUUUUUCUAGGUCACACCCAUUAUUUUUCCUGGGCCAUUAGCUCAGGUGGUUAGAGCGCACCCCUGAUAAGGGUGAGGUCCCUGGUUCAAGUCCAGGAUGGCCCAUAUCUCUAUGUUGGGGGUAUAGCUCAGUUGGUAGAGCGCCUGCUUUGCAAGCAGGAUGUCAGCGGUUCGAGUCCGCUUACCUCCACUGAUUACCACCUCUUCCAUAAUCUUUAGAAAGGAAAUGUUUUGAGUUGUGAUCAAAUUCUGAACGAAUCUAGCUUCCUAAUGAAAGUAUUAAGAUGCUGGACUCAUUGAAUUAAUUUCAUUGUUUUCAGAGAACCUUGACAACUGCAUAGAUUAUUUUUUUAAAGACAAUAAGCAUCUUUAAUGAUGCAGAUUUAUUAUUUGUGCGAAUGCAUUAAUAACAAUUCUAUUAAGCUGAUGCUUCAAUUUUGAAGUUAUU
rnacentral:tRNA from 1 species